rnacentral:ncRNA from 1 species
GAAAAAUAUAGAUCUUGGAGGAUGAGGGCUAAGAACCUGUCCCCUUGGUCCAGUGCUGGAAUAAUGGUGGGAAGAGUGACUUAGAACUGGUGUGGACCAGGGGAAUUCAAGUGUUUAAUUAAAACAAAGCACCGCGAAGGUCUGCAGCAGGAGUGGGCGUUGGUGCAAUGUGAUUUCUGCCCAAUGAUCUGAAUGUCAAAGUGAAAAAAUUCAGUGAAGUGCAGGUAAAUGGUGGGAGUAACUAUAACUAUCUUAAAAAAUGCUUGCUUUUGCUGGACUUGACACACUGGGUUGGAUGGGCCACCCAGGGCAUUUCCAUCUUCACCAAAUAAGUCAAAAAAGAAGCCUGCAAGGGUUUUAAAACUAACCAAGUGCCUCAUCACCUAAUUAGUGAUGCACAUGAAUGGAUGAGCGAGAUCCCCACUU